rnacentral:rRNA from 1 species
AUUGAACGCUGGCGGCAGGCCUAACACAUGCAAGUCGAACGAGUGGCGGACGGGUAAGUAAUGUCUGGGAAACUGCCUUAUGGAGGGGGAUAACUACUGGAAACGGUAGCUAAUACCGCAUACCAUCGGAUGAGCACAGAUGGGAUUAGGUAGUAGGUGGGGUAAAGGCUAACCUAGGCGACGAUCCCGAGCUGGUCUGAGAGGAUGACCAGCCAAACUGGAACUGAGACACGGGCCAGACUCCUACGGGAGGCAGCAGUGGGGAAUAUUGCACAAUGGGCGCAAGCCUGAUGCAGCCAUGCCGCGUGUAUGAAGAAGGCCUUCGGGUUGUAAAGUACUUUCAGCGGGGAGGCGUUACCCGCAGAAGAAGCACCGGCUAACUCCGUGCCAGCAGCCGCGGUAAUUC